UGUGUGUCAGUGUAGUGCUUCUUCCCAAAUAAGUGUGUGUAAGUGUAGUGCUUCUUCCCAAAUAAGUGUGUGUCAUUAUAGUGCUUCUUCCCAAAUAAGUGUGAGUCAUUGUAGUGUUUCUUCCCAAAUAAGUGUGUGUCAUUGUAGUGCUUCUUCCAAAAUAAGUGUGUCAGUGUAGUGAUUCUUCCCAAAUAAGUGUGUGUAAGUGUGGAGCUUCUUCGCAAAUAGGUGUGUGUCAGUGUCGUGCUUCUUCCCAAAUAGGUGUGUGUAAGUGUAGUGCUUCUUCCCAAAUAAGUGUGUGUCAUUAUAGUGCUUCUUCCCAAAUACGUGUGUGUCAGUGUAGUGCUUCUUCCCAAAUAAGUGUGUGUCAGUGUGGUGCUUCUUUCCAAAUAAGUGUGAGUCAGUGUAGUGCUUCUUCCCAAAUAAGUGUGUGUAAGUGUCGAGCUUCUUUGCAAAUAUGUGUGAGUCAGUGUAGUGCUUCUUCCCAAAUAAGUGUGUGUCUGUGUAGUGCUUCUUCCCAAAUAAGUGUGUGUCAGUGUAGUGCUUCUUCACAAAUACGUGUGUGUCAGUGUAGUGCUUCUUCCCAAAUAGGUGUGUGUCUGUGUAGUGCUUCUUAACAAAUAGGUGUGUGUCUGUGUAGUGCUUCUUCCCAAAUAGGUUUGUGUCUUCGUAGUGCUUCUUCCCAAAUAGGUGUGUGUCUGUGUCGUGAAUCUUCCCAAAUUGGUGUG